CAAGAGAAGAGAUUUGAGGUGAGAAUCAGCAACAAGAUGGAGAUACAGAUAGCAGGGAGGUGAGGAACAGGAGCAAAAGGAUGAGAGGCUUCAGACGUUUCAAUCGUUCGCCCCGUCUCCUGUGACGCGCGCCUCUUUAUAUAGCAUUGCUCCAGAUCCUUGCCACUAGGCCCAGUCCAAGUUCCACGGCCCAUUUUUCAGGGCAGUCCCACAAAGAGGGCAUGACCUCUGGGGCAUGACACAGAGGAAGCAGAAAUUCAGAAAUUGCCUUGCCGGUGACACUGAAAUCCUUCCUCGCUGCAAGCAACGCUGGCUAAAACUCCACAUGCCGGUCAAGUGUAAUCUCUCCCAUAGUCGCUGGCCGCAGUUUUAAGCAUACCUUACCCUGCGGCAAAAGGAAUAACCCGUUGCUCCAAUCGAUGCAGAUCCCCGAUUACCAGUCGGCACAUGCAUGAUUUAGGCCGAGAGGAGAAUCCGAGAUCUUGCCGCAGGCGGGGGCAGUGAAACACAUAUAAUAACUUUUGUCGCGCGAUUUAGAUCUGAAUUGCGUCGUGGAUCGUUCUACCAUGUUAUUGUGUCGGCUCUAUCUGACAGGCGAGAAGUGGUAGUUCCGGCCCACUUGCUUGUGGAGGCAAUGAGUAGGUUCCUCGAGAUCCUGAGAUGCAGGCGCCGAUAAUAAAAAUGCAGUGGAACUUUGGUCU